rnacentral:rRNA from 1 species
UACGGAGGGUGCGAGCGUUGUCCGGAAUCAUUGGGCGUAAAAGGGCGCGUAGGUGGCGCGGCAAGCGUGCGGUGAAAGCUCGGGGCUCAACCCCGAGUCGGCCGUGCGAACUGCUGGCUUGAGCACUGUAGAGGCAGGCGGAAUUCCGGGUGUAGCGGUGGAAUGCGUAGAGAUCCGGAAGAACACCCGUGGCGAAGGCGGCCACUC